rnacentral:rRNA from 1 species
UCGCUAGUAAUCGCGGAUCAGCAUGCCGCGGUGAAUACGUUCCCGGGCCUUGUACACACCGCCCGUCACACCACGAGAGUUUGUAACACCCGAAGUCGGUGGGGUAACCUUUUGGAGCCAGCCGCCUAAGGUGGGACAGAUGAUUGGGGUGAAGUCGUAACAAGGUAGCCGUAUCGGAAGGUGCGGCUGGAUCACCUCCUUUCUAAGGAA